UACGUAGGUGGCGAGCGUUGUCCGGAUUUACUGGGCGUAAAGCGCGUUCAGGCGGUUUGGCAAGUCGGGCAUGAAAUCUCUCGGCUCAACCGGGAGAGGUUGUCCGAUACUGCUGGACUUGAGGGCAGUAGAGGGUGGUGGAAUUCCGGGUGUAGUGGUGAAAUGCGUAGAUAUCGGAAGGAACAUCAGUGGCGAAAGCGACUUCCUGGACCAGUACCGACGUUCAGGCACGAAAGCGUGGGGAGCAAACAGG
rnacentral:rRNA from 1 species